rnacentral:rRNA from 1 species
UACGAAGGGGGCUAGCGUUGUUCGGAAUCACUGGGCGUAAAGCGCACGUAGGCGGACUUUCAAGUCAGGGGUGAAAUCCCGGGGCUCAACCUCGGAACUGCCCUUGAUACUGUUGGUCUCGAGUCCGAUAGAGGUGGGUGGAAUUCCUAGUGUAGAGGUGAAAUUCGUAGAUAUUAGGAAGAACACCGGUGGCGAAGGCGACCCACUAGAUCGGUACUGACGCUGAGGUGCGAAAGCGUGGGGAGCAAACAGG